rnacentral:rRNA from 1 species
CCUACGGGAGGCAGCAGUGGGGAAUUUUGGACAAUGGGCGCAAGCCUGAUCCAGCAAUGCCGCGUGAGUGAAGAAGGCCUUCGGGUUGUAAAGCUCUUUUGUCAGGGAAGAAACGGUGGUUGCUAAUAUCGAUCACUAAUGACGGUACCUGAAGAAUAAGCACCGGCUAACUACGUGCCAGCAGCCGCGGUAAUACGUAGGGUGCAAGCGUUAAUCGGAAUUACUGGGCGUAAAGCGUGCGCAGGCGGUUUUGUAAGUCUGUCGUGAAAUCCCCGGGCUCAACCUGGGAAUGGCGAUGGAGACUGCAAGGCUAGAGUUUGGCAGAGGGGGGUAGAAUUCCACGUGUAGCAGUGAAAUGCGUAGAGAUGUGGAGGAACACCGAUGGCGAAGGCAGCCCCCUGGGUCAAAACUGACGCUCAUGCACGAAAGCGUGGGGAGCAAACAGGAUUAGAUACCCUGGUAGUCCACGCCCUAAACGAUGUCUACUAGUUGUCGGGUCUUAAUUGACUUGGUAACGCAGCUAACGCGUGAAGUAGACCGCCUGGGGAGUACGGUCGCAAGNUUAAAACUAGAAGUAGUAGCGNGNGAGNGNGACGACGACGACGACGGAGGAGGAGG